rnacentral:rRNA from 1 species
UGGGGAAUUUUGCACAAUGGGGGAAACCCUGAUGCAGCGACGCCGCGUGAUUUAGAAGGCCUUCGGGUUGUAAAAAUCUUUUCUAUGGGAAGAAAAUGACAGUACCAUAGGAAUAAGGACCGGCUAAUUACGUGCCAGCAGCCGCGGUAAUACGUAAGGUCCGAGCGUUGUCCGGAAUCAUUGGGCGUAAAGGGUACGUAGGCGGGUAAGCAAGUUAGAAGUGAAAUCCUGUAGCUCAACUACAGUAAGCUUUUAAAACUGCUCAUCUUGAGAUAUGGAAGGGAAAGUGGAAUUCCUAGUGUAACGGUGAAAUGCGCAGAUAUUAGGAGGAAUACCGGUGGCGAAGGCUACUUUCUGGCCAUAAUCUGACGCUGAGGUACGAAAGCGUGGGUAGCAAACAGG